GCUAGUGUAGCUCAACGGUAGAGCAGCUGUUUUGUAAGCAGCAGGUUGGGGGUUCGAAUCCCUUCACUAGCUC
rnacentral:tRNA from 1 species